UGGAAGAAGAAUGGACACUACAACAUGAAAUGCAGGUGGUGCCCUGGGUUUCCUCAGGUCAGUGAUAUGUUAGAUGCCAACCACAGCUUUGUUGAUGACUCUACCAUCAUGGAUAACGGCGAUGCUAAUGGGAGGCUACCUGCCGUGAUCAAGUUUGAAAUCCAGGUGUGGAAUCUCACCUUCUAAUACUACUGUAUUCUUUUUGCAAUAACAGAAAUAUGGAUUUUCUACUCAAUCUCACUAGAUAAGCAAAGGCUGGCCAAUAUAUCCGCUUCAUAAUUGUUACAAAGUAUUGUCUGCAUGUGUCUGCUUUGUAACCAGUAUAUCCUGCAUCUGCAUGUGUCUGCUGUUGCCAACAAGUUCUGUCUGCUGUUGCCAUAUUGAUAAAACGAACUUCCCAAGUUUUAGUGCUGCACAGUAUUGGUUGGUCAUACACCUAUCGUUAACCUAGUGUGAUAUUAUUUGUUAAUGCCUGUAUACUUCAGAUGUUAACAGUUCGCCGGCAUGGUGCUGUAUAUGCUCUCUAUUUGCCUCUGAAUUUAUGUAUUUGUUUUUUCUUCAGCUUUACAAGACCAAGGAUGACAAGUACCUGCUAGAUAUGCAGAGAGUUACUGGACCUCAGCUCCUCUUCCUGGAUUUUUGCGCGGCCUUCCUUACCAACCUUAGGGUUCUAUAGUAUGGUGCCUGUUCUGGUUGAGUGAUGAAUAGUGAGACAUAUGACCGUCAGCGAUGAAUAAGUUGGUGCCUGUUCUGGUUGAGUGAUGAAUAGUGAGACAUGUGACUGUCAGAGAUGAAUAAGUGAUGGUGUGUAAAUAGGUGGUGUGUUUCAUCUUCGUUUUACCCAGUCCCUGACAGCGAACCGUGUUGUUUGGGUGACUAGUCCUGUGUGAAGCACCAAAAGUGUUGUUUGGGUGACUAGUCCUGUGUGAAGCACCAAAAGGUUAAGUGGUUGUUAUAAAUAAGACUUAUAUGGUAAAUAGGCGGUGCAAAGG
rnacentral:lncRNA from 1 species